CUUGUCGUAACUCCCUCUUGAAUGAUCGUGGCGAGUUCGCCAGACUCUGUCGUUACUUUUCCUAAGUUCGAGGCCAUAUGGGGUAUACCCAAGGUUCCAACCCCACUCUCGUCAAGAACGGGUUGUGGGGCCCAAACGCGAGCAUCCGUUACAAAAUCACCUUCAGGCAUCGGUGUAUGUGAUGGGCGAGAAUUUCUCUGGCUCAAUAACUGAGUUAAUGUGGCAACUUGUUGGCGGAGCUCUUCGAAAGCUUCAGCGAUAACGAAGGCUAGCUGAGGAGCUGGCAUCUCUGAUGAUUCUUUUUGAGGGACAUGAUGACCUUCAGGGGGACGGGGAGGAUCUGGAAUGGAUGAGCUUGCUGGAGGAAGACCUGAACUUGUGUUCAUCAUGGCUUUUGGUAGCAUUUCCCACAAAUUUCACCAAUGAUGCUACCAAAAAUUGUACCUGGUAGACCUCCCGAACUUGAUGACUAAGAAAGAGCACUAACAGAGCCUUCCAGUACCUAAAACAAAGGCAAUGAGAUGUGUUCUCGUCGCCCCUCCGAUGCUUAAGCCAGACAAGAAAUUUAUAUGAGAAUGUAUUCUAAAAUUGUAUGAAAAAAUGUAUUUAUAUAAUGGACUUGGGUUAUGCAUUUAUAGAGGUAGGUAGUGUACUCCUAGUAGGAUUGAAUUAGUUGGAUGUUCUUAUCCAAUAGAGUCCUACUUGAGAAGAGUAUUUUAUUUGUAAUAUAAUUACAUGACCAAUGAUGUUAUUGUUGACAUAGAGUGCUUGUGGGCGUAGGAGUCUUGGGUUGAGGUAUUUGCAUCAUGUUAAGAGUCCUUAGAAGGUAAGACUUCUUAAGGGCUUGACAAAAUGGGAGUUCGGUAUGAAGUGAAUAGCUCUAGAACUCAUGAACCUCGUAUAUCAAAAGGAUGCUCGAGGACUUACGCCCGAGGAGACUACCGAGCAGAUCACAAUGAUGCAAGUCAUCACUCCUCGGGUGUAUUACCCUGAGGACUCGGGGGUAUUACCCUGAGGACUAUGUGCCCCAAUAUGUGAUGAGCAAGACCAUGUGAGUCCUUAGGAGAAUCAAAUCGGGAGGUUGUCAAAAGUGACUACAUCAUUAAGGAUUGACGGGAAAAUGUACAGUAUGAAAUUUCCAUAUACACAUUCAUAGAAAAUACUAAACAUACAAAGGACAUAAUUAUCAGUCUAUAAGUAAAUUUGGUAUCCAUACAAUUAGAUAGAAAGUAUGAUUCUAGUGAAACUAACAUUCAUUUUAUUUCAGUUAUUUGAAACAACUAACAUGUAAUCAAAUCAAUGUACCAUAAUUUUGUUCUGAAAUCAAAAAUUAUUGCCUUGUGUUCACGCUCAGGUCAUCAGUCGCCUAAUCACUUUGACAAUUACUUUUGUGGUGGGACAUGGCAAAUGUUAGUGCGAGUAACAAAGCUUGCCUGUUACAAAGGAAAUUGUAGAAAAUCAUUUUAGGACCAAUGUAUUACAAAAGAAGAAGGUAGUAAAACAAAAGAAUUCUCAAGAAAAAGCAACACAUGAAACAUAAAAAAAAAACAUAUCUUUUGAGAGGAACACUAAAGACAACAUUUAUACAAUUCAGAUUCUUCUAAAAAUUUAAAACGAGCUCAAAAUGUGGAAGCUUUUGACAAUCCAAGAGUUACAAUUAUAUAAUUUCUUACAACCUUGUACAUAUAUCAAAUGGGGCCAUAAUUACAUAGUUGAAUUAGUUACAGUUUCGAAAAUAAAUAACGAUAAAACAUAGAAUGCUCUUUGAUGUGAAAAAUGCUUAAUGGAACCAAAACAAUAGAUGAAUACAUCUUGAAAAUUAUAAUACGUGAAUCUAAGAAACGAUCUUUUUCAACCUUGAGAUAUUAAGCUUUAUUUUCAUACUUGCUUAUUAAUUUGAGCUUAUAAGUGGCGUAGCAUUCCAAUAGUCCUAACUUCCUUAAUAUUGACAUGAAAAAGAAAUCUGCCAUUGAGACGAUUAGCACAUACCAACAAUGUCAUAAGAAUUUGUUCACUAUCCCUAGUUCGAUCAAUCUAUCAAUUGUGUAGGGCAAAACAAUUGAGCAAUAAGAAACAUGUCCCUAACAUUUUAAAUUAUUAGAAAAAAAAACGUGUUUGCAGGUUUUACCUCUUCAUUAGCUUGACUUCCCGUCACUGAGAUUCAUGAAAAAAGAUAUUGUUAAUUGAAUAGAGAGAAAGGAAGCUAUUACACAGAGUUGCACAGGUUCAUUUCAUAUGAUAAAGGUUAAAAACUUGUGAUUACAUGCUUCUUGACAACUUCAUGAUACUCUUGAUGGAUAUUUUGCCUUAAAGCCUAUAGAAAAAUAUUAUUAAGAGAUAUUGAGAAAUGGAAAGAAUUGGAAGAAAUUGAAACCUUUCCAUUAUAUCGUGUAUCCAAUUUACCUGGAAUUCAGACAUCUUGUCUUUGGACUUCUUCAAGACCCGACAUUAAAAUAUAAUCACUUCCUUCACAUAUUCUCACAUAUGCAUGUCUUCAAAUUAAGAUCUGAGAGAUAUUUAAAUCAAGAAAAGAGACUGACAACCCCAUUAAGUGAUUUCCUUGACCAUGUUAUUGUCAAAAUUGAACCAAAUUACUCAAAAAUUCUAAAAAAACCCAUAAAGGAAGGGCCAAAGGGCAAAAAAAAAUGCAACAUUAACACGAAAAAAAAUUAAAAAAAUAAUCGAAACAAUAGCCAUUGGAUGAAUAGACAGAUCUCCAUAAAAAGAAAAAAGAAAAAAAGGGUAUUAGAAAAAUUCUCUUUCGUGGAAACUCCAAUAGCAUUGCAAUAUAAGAUUUUUACAAAAGGAAAUCUAAAAGUCAUACCCGAUAGUCUUUUGAAGAUACAAGAAAAUGAUUAUAUCGAAUUCUAAGUUUGAAAAGGAUAAUUACAUUUAAAAAAUUUCCAUCAAGAAAAAGGGAAAGAGGGGAGAAAAUGGAGUUUUGAAGGGAAAAUGAGAGGGGAAAAAAUCUAUUUCUAAAUAAUGUAGCUGGUAAGCAAAUGAGUGAAUUUCAUAUUCAUCAUUAACAUUUAAAGAAUGUUUAUUCUCUUUGGCUAAGAAUUAUUGGCUAGAACUAUGCAGGGAAUGCACGGAUUUGAGAUUCCAUAGAACCAAAUCCUUUGACAAAAAUUGAUUCAAAAAUCUAUCCUUUGUAUCUGGUGUAAUGAAAUAGCAAUUACCUCAUAAUAGAUGAAUUUGGACAAUUGAUGAAAAUUCUACUAGAAAAAUAGAAAUUCAAUCUCCUCCAUAAUAUGAAAAAACUUGAAAAUUUUCAAAUAACUUCCCGUUCGUUCUAACUUAUCUUUUCUCCACGAUUAGAUGGUUUGGUGUUAAAAUCCUUCCCAUUUCCAACACAAUGUAGACCCAUUUAUAAAAAAAAUAACCCAUCAAUUUUCACUUUUGUCUCUUGGCACAAAUGAUUGCAUCACUAUUUAAAGAUAAAAUAAGGUAAAAAAAAUAUAAAAUCAAUCGACACUAAAGUUAAUCAACAAAAUAACCGAAAUUUAAUUCAUUUAUUAGCAAAAAACAUUGAUUCAAUUCUUUCUUUCUGAAGUUGCUACUUUUGUUUCUCGAAAAAGGCAUCAGUCCUAUGUUGUUAAGCCUUUGUUGUUAGGGACCACAGAGAAGAAUGUAAGUAAUUUAAUCGCUUUCUCCUCUCUCUAUUUACAGUUACUAACUAAAAAAAUGAAAUAAUAUCACCUGUUUACAAGUACAAUAAUUUUGUUAUGGUUUAUUUGCACAAGUUGCGACGAAUAUCGAACGGGUUAAACAACCAACAAAAAGCAAUAAAAUGGAAUGGAGAAAUCAAAUAAAAUACAAACAGAUAACAGACGAUGAGAAUGAAUUAUUUGUAUAAAAAACAAAUAUGAAAUCGAUGUUAGGAUCUUCCUCUAGCUGCUCAAGGUGAUUUUCGGGCUCAGUUAACCAUUAAACAUCGAAUCAACACCAAGAAACCGAAGAGGGACCGACCGCCAGGCGUGCUUUCUUCCUAUGGUUGCUAUUGCUCCUUUUGCUUGUUGUUUCCUCACUCACUUAGGAUGAAUACCACACAGGUAAGGGUCACAAAGACUCGAGCAAGAGGUAGAGAAGAUCAAACAAUAGGGUGCACGAAAAAGAAGAAGGAACUACCUUUCUUUCUCUCUCGGGUUCUUUCUCACGAGACUCUUAGGAAGAAAGAGAGUUACCAAUAUAUAUAAUAGUCCAAUGACAAACUUAAGGUAAGUUAUAAUAUGGUAAGUAGGCUCGACUAGGGUUAUGGCCCAAUAGCACACCAACAAGCCACAAAGGUUAUUAGACAUCCAAUAGGUAAAACAACGCUAGGUCGGGUCAUCCCAUUAUUCGGUGUUGAUUUAUCGUUCAGUCAUUCAUGUCGACUGAUAAAACUGGUUUUCAUCAUCGCCCGAGAGGUCGUUUGACAACAUGAUGUCUAACAACCUCUACCUUGGUGUCAAAGGACCUGUAAAGAAAAAACGUUUUUCAUUAGUGACACCUCUAACAGAAAACCGAUAAAAUUGGAAAUCAUUUACCUGUACCGAUGUUUAGAAGCUCCUUGCAACUUCUAAAUUUUACCAGUGGCAGCACUUUCGUGCCCAUAUCUGAAGGAUUAUAUUGUGUGUGAAUUUUUUCAAGUCUUACUACUUCUUGUGAUAUUAUAUCCCUAAUGAAGUGUAACCUAACAUCGAUAUGUUUAGUGCGUUCGUGAAAAAUAGGAUUCUUACACAGAUGUAUGGAUGACUGACUAUCAGAAUACACAACCACAUACUCAUUCAAGACACUCAGUUCAUGAAGUAGACUUCUAAGCCAUAGAGCCUCUUUAAUUGCUUCAGUGGUGGCAAUAUAUUCUGACUCUGUAGUGGAUAGUGCAACUAUGUGUUGUAACUGUGAUUUCCAACUAACACACGAAUUUGAUAAGGUGAAUACGUAAAAGGAAGUUGAUUUCCUACCAUCCCUAUCUCCUGCAUAGUCAGCAUCUACAAAACCCUUUUAAUUUCACGCCUUCCUUAUUAGCACUAAAUUUUAGACCUACGUCACUUGUACCCUUCAAAUAUCUUAAAAGCCACUUUAAUGCUUCCCAAUGUUCAGGACCUGGAUUAGACAUGUACCUACUGAGAGUACUAACAGCGAAUCCUAAGUCCGAUCUAGUGAAAAUCAUCAAAUACAUUAUGGAACCAAUCACAUUUGAGUAUGGAAUUUUACUCAUGUAUUCCACUUCACGUUCAUUGCAGGGGGCUUGUUCUUUAGAUAGAACAAAAUUGUUUGCAAGAGGCAGCGCGAUAGAUUUGCAGUCACUCAUAUUAAACCUUUUCAACACCUUUGAUAUGUAUGGAGACUGAUGCAAGAAUAAGAUGGAAUUUGACCUAUUUUGUUCUAUUUCCAUGCCUAGAAUCCGUUUAGCCUUUCCUAGGUCUUUCAUGUCAAAUUCUCCACUAAGAUCUGCUUUUAUAUUGUUUAUCCACUUAGGAGAUGAUCCAACUAAAAGCUUGUCGUCCACAUAGAGCAACAAGAACAAAUAAUUGUUAUCAGUCUCGUUGUGUUGAAAGUAUAGGCAGUGAUCGAAUUUACUUCUUUGAAAUCCUAUAGUGAGUACAAAGGAAUCAAACCUCUUGUACCACUGUCUAGGUGAUUGCUUUAGACCGUAUAGGGAUCUCUUCAGAAAACACACAUAAUCAGGUUUUAACUUGUCUUUAAAACCUUUUGGUUGAUUCAUAAAGAUUUGUUCAUCAAACUCUCCAUGUAAAAAAGCGGUUUUUACAUCGAGUUGUUCAAGUUCCCAGUCAAAGAGCGCAACCAAUGCGAGCAUGACCCUAAUAGUAGUGUACUUGACAGUUGGUGAGAAAAUAUCGUUAUAAUCAACACCUUCUUUCUCUGUGUAACCCUUCGUUACUAACCUAGCCUUAAAUCUUAAGGGUUCUGUACUACUAGUACCUUCCUUAACCUUAAAGACCCACUUGCAAUCAACGAUUGAUUUAUUCUUAGGUCUCGGUACUAACUCCCAAGUUUGAUACUUUUCUAGAGAACUCAUCUCUUCUUUCAUAGCCUUAAGCCACUCCUUAGAUUGACCACUAUUCAUAGCCUCUUCAAAAGUUUCCGGCUUCCUAUCAACUAGUUCUUCGUAACUAGCGUAUGCAAAAUCCAAUUCAGAUUCAUACCCGAACCUCCUAGGUUUUCUCGUUUGUCUUCUCUCUCUAUCUCUAACUAAAUUAUAGUUAGCUAAUGGAUUUUCUUCCUCAGGAUGUUCUUCUAUCACUACUUCAUUUUCCUCUUCAGGUUCUUGGACCUGAAUCUCCACCUCACUCGAAGUACUAGGUACUGAUGUGUUAAAUUUUCCUAACUCCACCUUAAACCUAUUUCUUUCUUCACCCGAUUCAGUUUUACUUACAGGUUCGGUUUCGUUCCUUAGACAAGGUAUCUCACUCUCAUUAAAUGUGACAUCCCUACUCAAGAUGAUCUUAACUCCUUUUUGGCUUCUAUCCCAUAACCUAUAGCCCUUAACUCCUUCGGGAUAUCCUAGAAAGACACACUUCCUGGCUCUAGGUUCUAAUUUUCCCUCACUUUGAUGAGAGAAGGCAGCACAGCCAAACGCUUUAAGCAUUGAGUAGUCACCCAAUUUUCCAGACCAUUUCUCAUGUGGAGUAUCACCAUUUAAUGCAGCCGAUGGAGUCAAAUUUAUUAGAUAACAGGCAGUUACAACGGCUUCACCCUAAAAUGACUUAGGAACCCCAGAACUUAACAUCAUGCAGCGCACUUUAUCUAGUAUGGUCCUAAUCAUUCUUUCUGCUACCCCGUUUUGCUGGGGAGUAUAAGGAACCGUUUUGUGCCUUGUUAUUCCACUUUCUUUACACAUCCUAUCGAAUUCAGCAUUACAGAAUUCUAGACCAUUAUCUGUCCUUAAAAAUUUAAUCUUCUUACUAGUUUGGUUUUCCAUUUGUUUCUUCCAGUUGUUAAAGUUAUGGAAGGUUUCAGUUUUGUCUUUCAAUAGAUAGACCCACACUUUCCUGGUGUAGUCAUCUAUGAUAGAUAGGAAAUACCUAUUCCCACCCGAUGUGGGAUUACUAGCAGGACCCCACAGAUUAGAAUGCACAUAUUCAAGCAUGAUGUUAGCCUUAUGCGUACUAGUGGAGAACGACACUCUAUGGUGCUUUCCGAGCACACAGUGAUCACAGAACGAUAGGUCAGACACACAGUCAUUACCAAAUGCACCUUUUUCAUUAAGUAGCUUAAGUCCCUUAAUGCCUACGUGUGCAAGCCUACUAUGCCACGUAUGUGUGUGAACGAUUUUGGCGGAAGAAAUAGAGGAGUUUAAUCCUCUAAUUACUUCCCCAGUAGUGAUGUAAAUAUCAUUUUUCUUUAUUCCCUUAAUAGAGAUUAACGCACCCUUCAUCAUUUUAAACAUACCGUUUCCAAUUUUACCGGUGAAGUUGUCUUUCUCAAGUCUUCCUACUGAAAUCAAAUUUCUAGAUAAUUCAGGAAUGUAUCUAACUUCCUUUAACAUGUACACAAAGCCCGUGUUAAAUUUUAUCUUUAUAUCUCCAAUUCCAGCAAUUGUAUAGGCAAAAUUAUCAUACAAAACUACUUGCCCAUCAUUAGAUUCUUGCAAGUUUUCAAACCAGUUCUUUUCAGACGUCACAUGAAAAGACGCACCAGAAUCUAAUAUCCAUUCAUGCAUAUGAGAAUUAGUAGUUAGAUUCAAUUCAUUAGUGUAUGCGACUGGACUAGUGACCAUAUAGACUUCACCGUUUUCGGUAUCAGAGGUAGAGGAUAACACAUUUACCUCAUCUCUUUCCUUAACCUUUUGUUUUUCCUUUUCUUUAUGGCAGUCUUUUAUAAAAUGCCCUGUGCCUCCACAGCCAUAGCAUUUUCUAGCCUUAGUUCUAUACUUUGACCUAGGUCUACCAUUCCCCUUCUUUUUUCAACUAUUACUACUUGAUUCGCCACUACUUUGGUAUCCAUCAUGACUGGCUUGCCUAAAUUGAGUUCUACCUCGCAUCAUAUGCAACUCUCCACUUCUCCUAUCCUAUUUUUCAGCCCUCAUUUCCAUCUCCUUACUCCUAAGAGAAUCUACGACAAUUUCAAGUGUUAACGUGUCCCUACCAUACUUAACGGCAUUCUUAAUUUCUUUAUAAGAGUCCGGGAUUGAAUUAAGCAAGAUUAUAGCCUUAUAGGUCUCAGACACGGCUUCGUCACAAUUGACAAUAUCUUGCACCAAUUUGUUAAAUACAUCUAAAUUGUCGUCGAGAUCCUUUGAAGGAUCCAUCUUAAAGCUGAAGAAUCGUUCGAGUAGGUAGAGUUUAUUCGGUGUAGAUUUAAGCAAGUAUAAGUCUUCUAAUCUUUUCCAAAGUUCUUUGGUGGUUUUUAGUUUUCCCACUUUUCUUAAGACAGCGUCACACAAGUGUAAUAUUAUUGAGGUAUAGGCAAGCUCAUCGGCUUCCUCUUUUUGUUCUUUUGAGAUGUCAGGUGCAAAAUUGCCUUCGAUGGCUUUUGACACCUUUUGUUGGACUAAUAUGCCUCUCAUCUUUUAUUGCCAGAUAGAGAAGUCCCCUUUACCGUUAAAUAUUCCCAAAUCAAAAUUAUGUGUUGUCAUUGGUUAACACACUAAUUAAACCACACGAAGUAGUAUUGGGAAGCGUGAUAAGGUAAUAUCUUGUUAAUUCUUAGCAAAAGUAACAAUGAACCUAAACGCUACGUCCACCAAGAAAUACCAAGCACUUAAAUCAAAAGAACAACCACUCAAUUAACGCAAGUAAUCCAAGUUCUAGCGCAAGCAAUGGUUACCCCUUCACGGUAACCCCAAAACCUAACGAUCACCCCACACGAUGAUCUUGCUAUUGCUGAAUUUAAAUGGAUUAAGCCAAUUUACCAGAGCGGACCUAUCUAAGUCCGUAGAGUGGAGAAAAAUGAGCUUGCUGUUCAAUUUCAGUCGGCGUCGCACCAGGGGCAAAAUCGUCCAACUUUUUCUGUGUAACCUGAAACACAAAACAAAGUAUAUCAGCGCGUUCAGGAGAUCGAAACAAGCAAGUUACCUGAAGACAGCUUCGUCGGACUGCCGCCCACGCGCCGCCUCACCAGGGGCGCCUCGACCUGCUGGUAAUGGGUAUGGCCUCCAUUUGUCCAACCGAGUUUUGGUUUGUGAG
rnacentral:lncRNA from 1 species